rnacentral:rRNA from 1 species
AGAGUUUGAUCAUGGCUCAGAACGAACGCUGGCGGCAGGCUUAACACAUGCAAGUCGAACGCACCUUUACGGGUGAGUGGCAGACGGGUGAGUAACGCGUGGGAACGUGCCCUUCAGUUCGGAAUAACCCAGGGAAACUUGGGCUAAUACCGGAUACGUGCGAGAGCAGAAAGAUUUAUCGCUGAAGGAUCGGCCCGCGUCUGAUUAGCUAGUUGGUGAGGUAAUGGCUCACCAAGGCGACGAUCAGUAGCUGGUCUGAGAGGAUGAUCAGCCACAUUGGGACUGAGACACGGCCCAAACUCCUACGGGAGGCAGCAGUGGGGAAUAUUGGACAAUGGGCGCAAGCCUGAUCCAGCCAUGCCGCGUGAGUGAUGAAGGCCUUAGGGUUGUAAAGCUCUUUCGUCCGGGACGAUAAUGACGGUACCGGAAGAAGAAGCCCCGGCUAACUUCGUGCCAGCAGCCGCGGUAAUACGAAGGGGGCUAGCGUUGUUCGGAAUCACUGGGCGUAAAGGGCGCGUAGGCGGCUUGAUAAGUCGGGGGUAAAAGCCUGUGGCUCAACCACAGAAUUGCCUUCGAUACUGUCUGGCUUGAGACCGGAAGAGGUAAGUGGAACUGCGAGUGUAGAGGUGAAAUUCGUAGAUAUUCGCAAGAACACCAGUGGCGAAGGCGGCUUACUGGUCCGGUUCUGACGCUGAGGCGCGAAAGCGUGGGGAGCAAACAGGAUUAGAUACCCUAGUAGUCC